rnacentral:tRNA from 8 species
UAUGCAAUGAACUUAAAAUUCAUUUAUAAAGAAUAAUCUUUUUUUAGA